GGCACGGCAGCAGCUCGGGAGACGGACAUUUGCUUGGUGGCUGCAAACCUUCUAGCACCAGGUCUAACCUGUUUGGCUCUGUGUGGGCAGUUGUUGCCAGUACUGGAAUAGCAACUUGACGUGCACGAGCAUCUACAUUUGUACAACAGCAAAUUGGAUUGGCCUCUCUCUGACAAACAGCGCACUUCCCAGAAGAAGAUCCACGACACUGAGCAGAAGAGGAAGGUCAGGAAGAAGCGGCGGUCCAUCAGACCAUCUUUCAGCCUUCACUCAGACCCCUCCGUGCUCAAAGAGAAACUGCC